GGCUCGGUAGCUUAGUUGGUAAAGCACUUGUCUAGCGAAUAAGGGUCGUGAAUUUAAAUCUCACCUGAGCAG
rnacentral:tRNA from 1 species